CCUACGGGUGGCAGCAGUGGGGAAUAUUGGGCAAUGGGCGCAAGCCUGACCCAGCAACGCCGCGUGAAGGAAGAAGGCUUUCGGGUUGUAAACUUCUUUUAAGAGGGAAGAGCAGAAGACGGUACCUCUUGAAUAAGCCACGGCUAACUACGUGCCAGCAGCCGCGGUAAUCCGUAGGUGGCAAGCGUUGUCCGGAUUUACUGGGUGUAAAGGGCGUGUAGCCGGGCUGACAAGUCAGAUGUGAAAUGCCGGGGCUCAACCCCGGACCUGCAUUUGAAACUGUUGGUCUUGAGUAUCGGAGAGGCAGGCGGAAUUCCUAGUGUAGCGGUGAAAUGCGUAGAUAUUAGGAGGAACACCAGUGGCGAAGGCGGCCUACUGGACGGUGACUGACGCUGAGGCUCGAAAGCGUGGGGAGCAAACAGGAUUAGAUACCCCUGGUAGUC
rnacentral:rRNA from 1 species